GACGAACGCUGGCGGCGUGCUUAACACAUGCCAGUCGAACGGAAAGGCCCCCUUGUGGGGUACUCGAGUGGCGAACGGGUGAGUAACACGUGAGUAACCUACCCUUGACUUUGGGAUAACUUCAGGAAACUGGGGCUAAUACCGGCUAGGAGCUCCUGCUGCAUGGUGGGGGUUGGAAAGUUUCGGCGGUUGGGGAUGGACUCGCGGCUUAUCAGCUUGUUGGUGGGGUAGUGGCUCACCAAGGCUUUGACGGGUAGCCGGCCUGAGAGGGUGACCGGCCACAUUGGGACUGAGAUACGGCCCAGACUCCUACGGGAGGCAGCAGUGGGGAAUAUUGCACAAUGGGCGGAAGCCUGAUGCAGCAACGCCGCGUGCGGGAUGACGGCCUUCGGGUUGUAAACCGCUUUCGCCUGUGACGAAGCGUGAGUGACGGUAAUGGGUAAAGAAGCACCGGCUAACUACGUG
rnacentral:rRNA from 1 species